rnacentral:rRNA from 1 species
UCGGGAAUAUUGCGCAAUGGAGGAAACUCUGACGCAGUGACGCCGCGUGCAGGAAGAAGGUUUUCGGAUUGUAAACUGCUUUAGACAGGGAAGAAACAAGACAGUACCUGUAGAAUAAGCUCCGGCUAACUACGUGCCAGCAGCCGCGGUAAUACGUAGGGAGCAAGCGUUAUCCGGAUUUAUUGGGUGUAAAGGGUGCGUAGACGGGAAGACAAGUUGGUUGUGAAAUCCCUCGGCUUAACUGAGGAACUGCAACCAAAACUAUCUUUCUUGAGUGCUGGAGAGGAAAGUGGAAUUCCUAGUGUAGCGGUGAAAUGCGUAGAUAUUAGGAGGAACACCAGUGGCGAAGGCGACUUUCUGGACAGUAACUGACGUUGAGGCACGAAAGUGUGGGGAGCAAACAGGAUUAGAUACCCUGGUAGU